UGUUUUUUUUUUUUUUUUUCUUGUCACAUUACAAGGUUCCAUGCUGGGAUGCCCUGAACCAGCAAUGCCUACUUGCUUCCAAGUACCAGGAAGUUUUUUUUAACUGCUCCAGCCUUCAAGGAUUCUUCUUAUUUUGUUUAAUUGUUCAUGCCCCCUGCUACAUAAGUUGCAAGGUCACUAGGGAUAUUGUUUUAGUUGUUCUCAAGACAACGGGAGUGAACUGACUUCUCUCGUAAUUUGACUGGUACACGUAGGUGGAUCAGUGAUAGCCGAGAUGAAUAUACCAAUGAACGGCUGGAGGCAAUAAAUGAUGAGUUUA
rnacentral:misc_RNA from 1 species